UCUUAAAAAAAAACUUCAAAGAAACCCAAUUCUCUCAACCCUCUUUUGGCCGGCAUGGGUUCCAUCGUUGAUACACCCUACCGCCGCCGUGGCCGGUGGCCAAUGAUGCGGAAAACGGGCUUUUUAGCCUUGCUUUGAAGCACCUUUGAAGGCCAAGCCACCAAAAUCCAAAGAGCCGAAAGGAGAUCACUCUCUGGCCCUUUUUGGGUUUGACUUCGAAAACGGAGAAUGGCCUCCUGACGUCGCAACCGCGGGAAAAUCAGAAGCGUGGUGAUGGCUUGCAGCUAUGAUGGCGCGCUGAGGAGGAGCGGCAGUUGAAGCUCUUAGGGGGCUAGGGUUUUUCUUCUUCUUGUUUUGGCUGAAAGUGUUUAGUUUUGUGGGCUAGGGUUUAGUUGGAGUUAAUUUGGGUUUAUGGUUUGGGCUUGUAAAAUUGGGUUUGUUGGGCUUUGGGUUUUGAAUUUUGUAAAAGAGACUGGACUGUUAAAAUUUUUGGACUUUUAUUA